UUUUAUAGAGCGCUCUUUCUCUUUAGUCUCCCAUUUUCUGCAAUCAGAAUAAUGCAGUGCAUUUCAGGGCCAUUUUCAUUUUUGAAGUGCUCUUUCAUCAUUAGUUAAUAAAUACUCAUCAAUGAAUUUUCCUCCUCGUCUUGGAAGUUGGAGUAAAAAGAAAGAUAAUCGCUUUCUAUUUCGGAGUGUCCUGGCCAUCAGAAAUGACAGAUACACCUGGCAUGCCUGUCACCAGUCCCCUGUGCCACACCCGCGGCAGCCAGCACAACCGAUCACCCUGUGCUCUUUCUCUCGGAAGCCUGCUCUGGUCCCAGAUAAUCAAGACAGGAUUUCAGGAAAUUCAGGAAACUUCAAGCAAUUGAAGGCAGAAAGUCUUCAUACUAAUGGAGGUGUGAUGGAGAUAGCAGGACAUAAAACAGAAGAGGGAGAGAGAGAGAGAGAGAGAGGAGAGAUGGCUGGUAGCAAGUAUGCCGCCGCAAAUAGUUCUAAAUUGCGUUUGCAAAAUGCAGAAGGCUUCAGCACCAUCCAACAAUUCAGACACCCUUUUUAUUUCUUCUCUGCGGGACGCCUCCAUCCAGACUAUUCGCAAAAACACGGAAAAGGUGAGAGCCCUGCCAUCUUAGCUCAGAAUUCAUCUGAUUUCCUUUUUUCCCCCCUGCCUUGUAUUCCUCAGUCCAUUGCCCAUGCAUCCGAUGGCAGCCGCCCUUGCUCUUGAAUGCGAGUGUCACAGCAGGAGCAGAAAGAGGGUUGAGGGAAGGCAUUGUCAAAGCCACGGUCAGCUAUUGUUUCUUUGCUUUCACUGAUCUGCUUUUUUUUUUUCCCCCCUUUCCUGAGGCUUUCCCUUACUAGUGGCCUCUGUCCAGGAGGAGGGAGAAAAUUGCAAGAGUUCACAGAGUAGUAGAGUGAAGCCGUUUUUAUUGCACGCUCUUUGAUAAACAGCUCAGCGAUCCAGUCCACGAAAUUAGGAGAUAAAGCAAGAGUGGAAGGGCUCUGGUGGGAGUGUGAGGGGGGUGGUCUGGGGAGACUGCUCCAGACUAGAUGCCAAAGGCAGUUUCUUUGCAAGGACUUCUGGGGGGGUGGGGGCGGCGGUGUAUUUGUUUUCUGCUGCAUUUUUGGUUUUAAAAAAUCAUGAGAAAAGUCAUAUUCAUCUGUCAGGCUUUCCAUUUGUUUAUUUUUGUUCAGUUCAACAACGAGAUGGAAAAAUUUAAGCAAGGCCAGAUCUGCUGUUUGUGAUUUGCUCAAAUGUUGGAAUCGGUUCAGCCUGAAAUCGGUGAUUGUCUUUUUCAGGAUCAUUUAAGCUUGCAUGUGAAAUGUGUGUGUUAACUUUCCAAAGUACAUUACAAAAAAAAAAAAAAUAAGAUGCUUUUGACCAUCAUUGGUGUGGUUAUAAAUCUUAGGAUUAUGUUAUUUUGCACCUUAACCAGAGAGCUGUUCUUUUGGGCAACAUUUAUGCAAAAGUGAUUAUCUGCUCUGAGCAGGCCAACUCCUCUGAUAACUCCCAAACUUUUCAAAGGUUACAAAGGCACAUGCUCAAAUAGAUUUUUAGGCAAGUAUUUCAAAUGGCCAUUUGGCAUAAGCAUGAAAAUGCUAGGAAUUCUUUCCAGCAACUUUAACUUCAUGUAAUGUCUAUUUCUUCAACUGAAUAAAAAUGAUUAGAUUCAACAUAGAACCAGAAAGCAUAUUUAAAUUUGAAUUCCGUAUUCAAGCAAUUUUGCCAACAAACAAACAAACUUGCAAACUUUAUAAACUUAGUUGCAGUGUAGAAAAACCAUGUCUGUAAUUGAUUCCCCAUAGUUUUCUUCUUUCUAAAUAUUGUACUAUCUGUACUUACAUAGAAAAUUAUUGCAAAUUGAUCACUCCCCCCCGCCCCCCACUUAAG
ensembl:lincRNA